rnacentral:rRNA from 1 species
ACUUUCAGCAACGGAUCUCUUGGUUCUCGCAUCGAUGAAGAACGCAGCGAAACGCGAUAUGUAAUGUGAAUUGCAGUUGAUCAUCGAAUCUUUGAACGCACAUUGCGCCUAUUGUAUUUAUACGAAUAGGCAUACCUGUUUGAGUGUUUUUU